rnacentral:rRNA from 1 species
UGCGCCAACGGAUGCCUCAGUAGCGGCGAGUGAAGCGGCAAGAGCUCAGAUUUGAAAUCGUGCUUUGCGGCACGAGUUGUAGAUUGCAGGUUGGAGUCUGUGUGGAAGGCGGUGUCCAAGUCCCUUGGAACAGGGCGCCCAGGAGGGUGAGAGCCCCGUGGGAUGCCGGCGGAAGCAGUGAGGCCCUUCUGACGAGUCGAGUUGUUUGGGAAU